rnacentral:rRNA from 1 species
GACGAACGCUGGCGGCGUGCCUAAUACAUGCAAGUCGAACGCUUCUUUCCUCCCGAGUGCUUGCACUCAAUUGGAAAGAGGUGUGGCGGACGGGUGAGUAACACGUGGGUAACCUACCCAUCAGAGGGGGAUAACACUUGGAAACAGGUGCUAAUACCGCAUAACAGUUUAUGCCGCAUGGCAUAAGAGUGAAAGGCGCUUUCGGGUGUCGCUGAUGGAUGGACCCGCGGUGCAUUAGCUAGUUGGUGAGGUAACGGCUCACCAAGGCCACGAUGCAUAGCCGACCUGAGAGGGUGAUCGGCCCCACUGGGACUGAGACACGGCCCAGACUCCUACGGGAGGCAGCAGUAGGGAAUCUUCGGCAAUGGACGGAAGUCUGACCGAGCAACGCCGCGUGAGUGAAGAAGGUUUUCGGAUCGUAAAACUCUGUUGUUAGAGAAGAACAAGGACGUUAGUAACUGAACGUCCCCUGACGGUAUCUAACCAGAAAGCCACGGCUAACUACGUGCCAGCAGCCGCGGUAA